UAGGGGGGUGGGGAGACCUCCCCAGGAAAAUGGUGAUUGAAGAGGCAAAGCCAUCUUCCGAAAAUAUGUUCUGGAAAGAUGCUGUGCUCUUUUCUGUGGUUAAAAUUCCACGUUGUGUCAAGAUUUAUGUUUCCAUCUUAAAAAAAGAAUCAUGCCAGGCAUUUUAAAAAAACCUCUUAAAAAUAGAAAAAUGAGGAGAAACGAGUGGUUGGAGAAGUAGAAAUGUGAAGCUGAUGUGUUUACUGCUUUAGGCCAGAGGGAGAGUUGAGGGGGGUGGUUCGUGGGUCUCCCCUUCUUCCCGCCCCGAACCCACACACCGGAGGUGUGGGGCGUGCACCUGCCGUGAAGAAGGCCUGCCCGGAGCGCAAUGAAGUGACUGUCGGAGCUGGCUUCGCAGAGACGAGUAGAGUCUGGUUUGAUUCCAAGUUGGGAGACGUCCAAAGUUGCAGCCAAGUACGAUCAAAGAGGCCGGUGUCUGAGCAAAACCCCAGACGGGUGUGUGGGAUCCCCGUGCAAAGCAGGACUGAGGCCGGAGGGCCCCGAAGAGGGGCGACUGACCCUGGGGUCAAGGGUGGCACCGUCCUAGAAGGCCCGCGGGGUGGGAGGGUUCCCAGGCAAGCGCGACGCAGACCCCCGGGGCCCUCCCGUGCGGCAGAGGAUGGGGCAGCGGUGAAGAACCAGACAGGGAGCAGGUGUCCGUGUGGACACAGAGCGCCGAGUACCCGGGGCCCCGACCUGCCCUAACUCCCCUGGUACCUAGAAGCUACCCAGGAAGAAGGAGGAGGCCCCAGACUGAUCAAACCUAGGUCUCUGCCACUUCUGGCGAAUGGCACUCUAAGUUUAAAUUACGAACAACAGAAGAAAAAGGAAGAUUUAUUUCUUGAAGACCACUAUCGGCUACACUUCAUUUCGUGCAGCCAAUUUUAUUCUAAGUUCCUACCGUGGGAAGAAGCACAUUUGGAAAGAAGGACGAUAACUCGCCCGUGGGUCUAUUUCCCGCCCCGGAAUCGGGUAACGAGACCAAGGAGAGGAUUUGUUUCCGGAGAAAGAGUAACAGAAGGUGAGGGUAGAAAUGUGAGUGACUCGGGGCGCCUGGGUGGCGCAGUCGGUUAAGCGUCCGACUUCAGCCAGGUCACGAUCUCGCGGUCCGUGAGUUCGAGCCCCGCGUCGGGCUCUGGGCUGAUGGCUCGGAGCCUGGAGCCUGUUUCCGAUUCUGUGUCUCCCUCUCUCUCUGCCCCUCCCCCGUUCAUGCUCUGUCUCUCUCUGUCCCAAAAAAAAAAAAAAAUAAACGUUGAAAAAAAAAUUUUUUUAAUAAAUAU
rnacentral:lncRNA from 1 species